rnacentral:rRNA from 1 species
UACGGAGGGCGCGAGCGUUGUCCGGAAUCACUGGGCGUAAAGGGCGCGUAGGCGGCCACCGCAAGUCGACUGUGAAAUCUCCGGGCUUAACCCGGAAAGGUCAGCCGAUACUGCGGGGCUAGAGUGCGGAAGGGGCAACUGGAAUUCUCGGUGUAGCGGUGAAAUGCGUAGAUAUCGAGAGGAACACCUGCGGCGAAGGCGGGUUGCUGGGCUGACACUGACGCUGAUGUGCGAAAGCUAGGGGAGCAAACAGG